CACGGCUCCCCACACACCGAGCGCCGCCCGGCGCGGGGGGUAACAGCGCCGAGAGCCGCCCCUGCCCCGCUGUGCGCUACGCGGAGCCCGGAAAGCUGCUGCGGCCCAACAGGGGAGGGCCGAGAGCCCGCUCUGGAGCCCGCUCUUAACGCAACAGCUACUGGGUCUCCUGAACCACUACGUGUCCAGAAGCAACGUUCAGACACUCCAACGUGCCACCACCGCACAGAACGUCUUUAUUUAGCUAAAACCACGUCGGUAUCACCGGGGGGAACCAACAACCAGCAACCGAGAGCCUGAUACUAGCAGGUACCGAAGGCGGUUUCUCUCAGAAGGGUCUGCCCGCCCGACUUUCGGCACUGCCGCUAACGGCGUUCCCGAGCGCGGCACGGAGCGGCCCCGCAGCUCGGCGAGGCCGAGGGAACAAAAGGCGCGGGCGGCGGGGUGCUCCGACCGCGGUGCCGGCACAGCGGGACGAGCGCGGCCAAACUGAAUGAGAAAAUCUGUACAGAAAUAGACAGUAUUUUUGAAGUUACCAUGCAUCCUUUCAACACCAAGAAUAUAAUCAGAGCAGAACCAGCAACAAGAUUCUGCAUGUGAUAAUCACAUCUUUGGUUGGGAGGUGGUCGUGGAGGGAGUCACAAAAUACAAACAUAAAAUGAGGAGCUAUUAUAAUGAAUAUCCACCAGCUCAUCUGAUAUUGAGCUACUCAA
rnacentral:lncRNA from 1 species